rnacentral:misc_RNA from 1 species
UCCUCAUUCACAUCCUCGUGCAACCGAGACUGGGGUGGUCAUAGAAGGGAAGCUCCUUAUAGGAUUUGUGACAACUAGCAAUGUGUUUCACUCCAAAGUUUUGAGUGCUGGGCAGAUGUUUGUUGUUCCUCGUGGUCUUGUUCACUUUCAACUAAAUGUUGGAGAAGAAAAGGCCCUUCUUUUCACUGCUUUCAACAGCCAUUUCCCAGGUUCUGCAGUCGCCCCAACUACUCUUUUUGCUUCUACACCUCCAAUUCCCA